UACGUAGGGGGCAAGCGUUGUCCGGAAUCAUUGGGCGUAAAGAGCGUGUAGGCGGCUCGGUAAGUCCGCUGUGAAAGUCCAGGGCUCAACCCUGGAAUGCCGGUGGAAACUGUCGAGCUAGAGUCCGGAAGAGGCGAGUGGAAUUCCUGGUGUAGCGGUGAAAUGCGCAGAUAUCAGGAAGAACACCCGUGGCGAAGGCGGCUCUCUGGGACGGUACUGACGCUGAGACGCGAAAGCGUGGGGAGCGAACAGG
rnacentral:rRNA from 1 species